GAGGGAGAGAGCUUGCACUCCCAAACCCUUCGUUUCCGCUUUUCUUAGCUUUCCGUUGUCGCUCCUAUCUCCUGCUUCGCUCGCGUUUUCGAAUUAUUCCUCGAAUUCUUCUGUCGUCUCGAUCCGUGCGGCCUCAGAUCCUCUUCUAGUGUUCCGACCUCUCUCGCCCGUCUUUGCUCUCCUCCACGGCGAGCAGGAGCACAGAAAGUGAGAUCGGUGGCGCAGCGAGCGGCCAGUCCGCGGCAGACUUGCGAGAGAAGAAGGGAAAUCGCUUUCUUCGUGUUGCUAUCAUGUAGAAGUUUGAUAAUUGAGUGGGAAUUGAAGGGAUUCGCGAGGAGUUUGAUCCUCAAAUCCCUUGAGAAUGUCCAUUAGCGUUUGCUUCGUUAUCGUGCUCCAAGUGGCUCCGCCCGACCUACUGAGUAAGAAGAAUCCAAUUAACAUCUGGAGUGGUAUAUCUGCUAUAAAACCUGGUUCUCUCAUUUACCAAGAAGCCAAGAAACACAUUGCUGAGAUGCUAGAUACUGGAGAUCAAAGAGCUAGCUUGCCAACAACAGCCCAUGUCUCAGAAUCUUUGGGUAGUCUGCUUUCUACUCCAGAGUACAAUGCAUUAUCUCCAAACGUGAGUCAUGGAAGUGACAAGGAGCUUGUGUUGCCAUACGAAGAGACAGGAUCACUCCCUAUGCAACAGUUCAAUCAAGAUGAUGCAACCAGUUCCUUAAGCUUGUCGAAACAAAGCUUUCAGGUCUCACCUCACUUUGGCAAUCAAACUGAUGUACCGAUGCUUCACUUGAAAGCUGAGAUCAUUGAAAACCAGGUGCAGCAGGGAUUGUGUAUUGGAUCAGAACUUAACCAUGAAGCAAGUGUACAAAAUGUGGAUGCAGUCAGAAUAAGCAAGCCUCCAGUGUGAUGUGUCUUUGGAGCCAAAGAGCAAUAACAAAGAUUUAGUUUCAUUGGAGGUGGAAUCACACACUGCAACUUAUUCUGGAUCACCAGGAUCCCUUAGAGAAAUCUUGGAGACUCAUGAAAGCACUAUUGCUGUGAUCCCAACACUGGAUACAGGAGCUCAAGCUACUUUCAACUAUGUUAAAGCCGUGAUCGAAGCCUCAGGGUUGAGCACUAUUGACUUUUCAGAGAGAUGCCAUUUGGGAGAUGAAUUGCUUGCCCGAUCCUUGUUUGAUGAAGGAGAAAUUUCAAGUUCUCCACAGAUAGAUGAUCCAAAGCUUCUCUUUGAUUGCUGCAUCACUGAAGCCUCUGAACAGAUCUUCAAAUGCCCCCCUUGGGUGUCUUUGAACACAUCCAAUGUUCAGCAGGCUCCGGUAGCACAAUGCUUAAUUCGAGAAGUCAGUAGGGGAAUCGAAAGGCAAAUUCCCAUGCACUUGCCAAACUCAUUAGAUCAGAUAGUAACAAAGGACUUGGGAGAGUGGAAGCUGGUUGGACCUUCAGUUCGAAAUUGAGAACAUCGUCGACAAGAUACGGGACACUCUCCUCGAUGAUUCAGUGGACGAAACUAUAUUCGACAUGUCGCUUGAUCUCUGAGCUGGAUGGUGAUGCUCCUUGUCUUGCUCAUGGUUUGAUAUAUAUGUUCAUUUCUAUGGAUACUUGUAGAAGUCCAUUUCUAUGGACAUGAAAAGGAAGAAUGCACAUGCCUUCUACCUAAUUGUUAAUGCUCUGCUGAGAAUUGGUGGAAAUAAU